CCUUACCCUGGACUUGAACGUAUUAGGCAUAAUUUGGAAACAGAUUAGUUAGCAAUAACCUGAUACGAGGUGCUGCAUGGUUGUCGUCAGCUCGUGCCGUGAGGUGUCAGGUUAAGUCCUAUAACGAGCGCAACCCCUACACAUAGUUACCAACACGUUGCGGUGGGGACUCUAUGUGGACUGCCGGCGCAAGCUGAGAGGAAAGUGGGGAUGACGUCAAAUCAGCACGGCCCUUACGUCCAGGGCGACACACGUGCUACAAUGGCAGGUACAGAGGGCAGCUACACAGUGAUGUGAUGCGAAUCUCAAAAGCCUGUCUCAGUUCGGAUUGGAGUCUGCAACCCGACUCCAUGAAGUUGGAUUCGCUAGUAAUCGCAGAUCAGCCAUGCUGCGGUGAAUACGUUCCCGGGCCUUGUACACACCGCCCGUCAAGCCAUGGAAGUUAGGGGUGCCUGAAGUUCGUGACCGAGAGGAGCGACCUAGGGCAAAACUAGUAACUGGGGCUAAGAUCGUAACAAGGUAGCCGUAAUCUUCCGCGGCCGGUU
rnacentral:rRNA from 1 species